CAGCAGCCGCGGGAAUACGUAGGGUGCAAGCGUUAAUCGGAAUUACUGGGCGUAAAGCGUGCGCAGGCGGUUUGUUAAGACAGAUGUGAAAUCCCCGGGCUCAACCUGGGAACUGCAUUUGUGACUGGCAAGCUAGAGUCUGGCAGAGGGGGGUGGAAUUCCGCGUGUAGCAGUGAAAUGCGUAGAUAUGCGGAGGAACACCGAUGGCGAAGGCAGCCCCCUGGGCCAACACUGACGCUCAUGCACGAAAGCGUGGGGAGCAAACAGGAUUAGAUACCCCGGUAGUCCCUGUCUCUUAUAC
rnacentral:rRNA from 1 species